rnacentral:rRNA from 1 species
GAUCUUGGAUGGUCAAGAGGAGAGCAGCGAUGCGCCUUUGGAGGGGCUUGCGUCCCAUCAGGUAGUUGGUGAGGUAACGGCUCACCAAGCCGAUGACGGGUAGCUGGUCUGAGAGGAUGAUCAGCCAGACUGGGACUGAGAGACGGCCCAGACUCCUACGGGGGGCAGCAGGGGGGGAUAUUGGACAAUGGGGGGAACCCUGAUCCAGCGACGCCGCGUGGAGGACGAAGGUCUUCGGAUCGUAAACUCCUUUUGUCGGGGAAGAUGAUGACGGUACCCGGCGAAUAAGCCCCGGCUAACUACGUGCCAGCAGCCGCGGUAAUACGUAGGGGGCGAGCGUUGUCCGGAGUUACUGGGCGUAAAGAGCGCGUAGGCGGCUUUUCGAGUCGGCUGUGAAAUCUCCUGGCCUAACUGGGAGGGGUCGGCCGAGACCGAAGGGCUUGAGGUCGGUAGAGGAAGGUGGAAUUCCCGGUGUAGUGGUGAAAUGCGUAGAGAUCGGGAGGAACACCAGUGGCGAAGGCGGCCUUCUGGGCCGUACCUGACGCUGAGGCGCGAAAGCGUGGGGAGCGAACUGAAUUAGAUACUCAGGUAGUCCACGCCCUAAACGAUGGACGCUAGGUGUCGGGGGUAUCGACCCCCUCGGUGCCGAAGCUAACGCAUUAAGCGUCCCGCCUGGGGAGUACGGCCGCAAGGCUAAAACUCAA